ACGCCCCCGUGCAAUAAGUCGGUAAUGUGCUAUUAUGGACUUUUUGCUGUUAUGUUAAAAUCGUAAUCUAUGGGUCGGAAUACACAUUGUGAAUUUUUUUUAUAAUUUUCCUAUUUACAUUUUCGGAGAUAUUUGGAAUAGCCACUUUGUUGUAGGGAAAUUGUAAAUACAUUUAUGACGAGAAAAACAUCAUUACACAUUAAUACUUAAGUGUUUUUCUUUUCGGUAUUCGGUAAGUUGCUAUUACUGGAUUAUUGUAGUGAAUAAUUUGCAGUAAUUUCCUUUAAACGCAUAUGCCAUAUUUAUUUCGUAUUUAAUUUGUAAAACAUUAAUCAGUAAUAGCAAAUAACAAAGUUUUUAGAAAGGAAAAUGUUUUGUAACAUUAACAUACUUACUAUUCGUUUCAAAUUCGACCAUGUCAAUAUCUGUAUUCAACAUUAUUAUGUUUACUUCAUCAUCAGAUAAUUUGUAAUAUACAUUUCUCUCUUUCUUUUUAUGGUAUUCUGAUUAUUAUAAGUGUAUUUAUGUGUAAGUGUGAAUGAGGAUUGUAUAGGAUACUGUUGUUUACCACUUGAAUUAGUAUUUUAUGGUGGAAUUGAGAAAUUAAAAAAUUCUCGUGUAAGACGAAUGCUGUUCUUGGUGAACAAAUUAGAUGACUUUGAGAGUGAAGAUGUAGAAUCAAAUAAAUAUUUAAAUACUUCGAAAACA